UCUGGCCUGAGACCAAUCAAGGCUGAUGCAAUCUGAGGUGCUGAGCACCUGCUAGGUAACUGAUAUCUGGGUGUGGCCAUAGGGCUGUCCAGAGCAGUAGCUGGCUUUGAAGCUGGUAUUGAUCUGAGUGCCAGCUCCUCGAAUUUGCACGGAAAUUACUUUCCAUCUAUCUCCACCCAAACAAGGAAAUGGAAUAAGAGGGUCAAGAGAAAAUUCCACUUGCCAAGCAGCACUUGCUACUGUCAUGUAGCUUCGCUAAGGAAACUUAUGCUCCAAAGAUCUAGUGUGAAACAAACAAACAAACAAUUUUCCAGAAACUGCUGUCGUGGCCGUUGGAAGAAUUUCAAGCGAGUGGUACCAGCUGUCCAGGGUAGCCAACGCAAUCUGAUAUGCACGUGUCUGGCAAGGUACCGAGCCUGUUAUGGAGGAUUAUAGCUAGCAUUCAUGCCAGGGACACAGCCUAACCCUCUCGGUUUAUGAAUGAAAGCCAAGGGGGCUGGAGAAGGGUGGGGGAUCCCUCCUCUCUCACCCCCUCUCAUCGAAGACAAAAUAAACUCUCUUGGCUGCCUAGCAAAGAGCGUCUG